rnacentral:rRNA from 1 species
AUAGCGAAGAGGUCACACCCGUUCCCAUUCCGAACACGGCAGUUAAGCUCUUCAGCGCCGAUGGUAGUUGGGGGUUUCCCCCUGUGAGAGUAGGACGCCGCCA